GAAGGAUGAGACUGUAUUUCCUGAGUAACAUAAACUAACAAUUGUCUAUUCAAAUAAUAUAGCUGCUUGUCUAUUCUCAUGUAAUAUUCUUAAUUAUCUGAAAGAGGAAUGGCUUAGUGAGAACUCCAUCUUUUAGAUGUCCAUGACCCCUUUCAGGUAGUCAGUAACUUGUUUUGGGAGAUGAGUCUGGGAAUUCUGUAACAUAAUUAGAAUGCUACUUUUAAAUAUGGAUCAUUGCAUUUUUAUGUUAAUUUUCUCAUUUGUUCUUUACAAUAACUUCUUUGAAAUUUGAUUUUUUAGGCAGGAUGGUUUAUGGUUGCUUUUUACAGAUAAACAAACUGAGGCUUUGAGAAGUAAAAGGAUUUCCCCAAGUUCAUUCAACCAGUAGUGAGAGAGUUUGGAUUGAAACAAAGGAUGUUUGACUGCUAGUCUUAGGCCGCCUGAUGCAAUAAAGGCAUCAGAAGCCAAAUAAAUAUAUGAGUUCACAAAGGAUUAGAUCCAUUCUUAGAUGUCAGAUUUAUAACAGGUUGUUAAAGGUCGUCAGGUGUUCUUAAUAUACACUUCCUGUUUCUUCAGGGUAAUGUCAUGGUGGGUAACCAUGCAAUCCCCUAAAAAACCCUUUGCUAUCACUGUCAGAGACAGAAUUCUGGACUCUAGGCCCAUUGGCCUGUCCCAGUGAGCUAUUUCUCAAGUUCUUAUCUUUUGGAUACAGAAGCAUAUUACUCAAGAGUGUGAAGGGGAAGUUGGCUUUAAUCUUAAUUGCCUGCAUAACAGUAUUUUUAAAAUGAUCUCACUCUGUAAAAUAUAAAAUGCUACCACUACCAUAGGAAUCAGGAAUGUUAGAGCAGAGCAAAGAUUAUUAGAAAAGAAAAGUCAAGCUUGCAAUAACUAUACAUUCUUUCCCUCUGAAUUUGCCAUUAAAAUACAGUUGCAGUUCCAAGCAGACCACAGCCAGACAGCAGAAUGCACAGUCUGCGCAACUACUCUAUCACUACUCGAUUUGCAUGCCAGGACAGGACAGGACUCUCCGGUGACUAUUGUGUCCAUCUUUAUGUCCAUAUGUGCCCAAUGUUUAGCUCCCACUUUCAAUUUCACUCACCCUGGAGAAAGCCAGCUGCAUAAGGACACUUAGGAACUCAAUGGAGAGGACCAUGAGGUAAGAAACUAAGAUCUUCAGGCAGUGUCCUGUGAGGAACUCAUGCCACCUGCCAACGUCCAUGUGAAUAAGCUUGGAAGCAGAUUUACCAAACUCAGUCAAGUGUUCAAAUGAUUGCAGUACCUCCCAACACCUUGUUUGCAGUGUCAUGGGAGACCUUGAACCAGAGCUGUCCAAAUAAGCUUUUCUGUUUUCCCUACCCAUGAAUAUAGUGAGGAAAGAAACGUUUAUUGUUUAAGCCAUUACAAUUUGGAAUGAUUUCUGAUAUAAAAGUAAAUAACUAAUAGAGUCUCUAGGGGUAGAUUUUACAUUAAAGUGAGUUCCUGGGAAGAUAUAAGAUAUAUGGUCAGUAGUAAUUGAUCUGCAUCCUCUAUUUUUUACUGGUAGAAAUUAAUAAUCAUCAUAUCAAGAAUGUAGCAGCAUUCGCAUAAUGUAUUUGGGUUGCAAAAUAGAAACAUAGCUCAGCCUUCAUCAUCACUAUUACCUUUCUUACAAAAAAAUAUUUAAAAUACUUUCAUGUAAUAUUUUUAUAAGAGCUUUGUGAAGCCAUUGAGUGACACAUCCUAGCUUCUUAGGGACUCAGAAAAUAAUUUCCUGUGCGACAAAGAGUCUAUGUAAUCUUUCCUUUUCUCUUAUUUUAGUAAAAUAAACCCUGUAUUGCCAAUUAGUUAUUUAUAGUG
rnacentral:lncRNA from 13 species